UAGUGCAAACAGGAAGCGCGUAACAGGAAGUAGGAAGUAUAGAGGAGACCUGAAAACAGAGAAAGAACAUGGUGCAGUUGUAUAGUUUCUCAUGUUGAAUCCAGUGUAAUCCUGCAUAUGAAUCCCUCAGAAAGCAAUGGCUUUUCACUCCAAUUCAAUGUGUCAUCUUGACUUGACCUGCUGUGAAAGAAGUCAUUAAAGGAGCAAGCACGCUCACUUCCUGGCUCUUGAAAA